ACUUUCGAGGCUCCACUUAGCAAAAAUUCGCUGUUACUUUCCGUUAGCAAAAAUAUUUUUUUACUUUUGAGUUAGCAAAAAGCACGAUUUACUUGAUUUUAGUAAUCAGAAAGUUUAUCUUGCUCGAUUUUAGUAAAACGAAGGUUUUCUAGCCGCCUUAUUUCUAGAUAGCAGCCGCUGCCGGUAGAGACAAAAAAAUAAACUGACGGGAUUCAGUGCCGUUCCGGAAAUUCGAUGCUGGCGGUUCUUUUGGUGGCUAAGUUCACGACAAAUUGGUAGCCAAAUCGAUAGUGGAUGCAAACAGGUUGCUGCUGCCGGUGGGGUUCCGGGUUUUAAUUGCAACAGUCCGAAAAUCGAAAGGGACAAAGCUGGAAUUUCAAUGCGGUGCAUCCGGAACAACCCCGGUGUCGAUCGCUUGGCAUUUCGCGUUCCCAGGAUCGGAACUAAAUAAGUUCCAUGAAGUGUCGAAAUAAAGAGAAAAAUCAAUUGAAAGUAAA